GGAGGAUCCAAGCGUUAUCCGGAAUCAUUGGGUUUAAAGGGUCCGUAGGCGGUUUAGUAAGUCAGUGGUGAAAGCCCAUCGCUCAACGGUGGAACGGCCAUUGAUACUGCUAAACUUGAAUUAUUAGGAAGUAACUAGAAUAUGUAGUGUAGCGGUGAAGUGCUUAGAGAUUACAUGGAAUACCAAUUGCGAAGGCAGGUUACUACUAAUUGAUUGACGCUGAUGGACGAAAGCGUGGGUAGCGAACAGGAUUAGAUACCCUGGUAGUCCACGCCGUAAACGAUGGAUACUAGCUGUUGGGAGCAAUCUCAGUGGCUAAGCGAAAGUGAUAAGUAUCCCACCUGGGGAGUACGAACGCAAGUUUG
rnacentral:rRNA from 1 species